CCCAAAACCUGGUGUUGCUGCUGAGAAACAGUGUACCGGCAUUUGUCGGUACUACCGGCAAAUGUCAGGCCAGUCAGUCAGGGCAGUACAGGAGAAGCUGCUGUUGGACAGGGAGCGCAGUCAGUGCCGACAGUGAGGCCUCAGCGCAAUGACUCUGGACAGUGGCUGGGUCUUUUCCUGGAUUUUUUCGAAAGGAGGCAAGAGGCAAAAAGCAUUUUGCACCAUAUACACCAACACAAGCUGGGAAGAGCUUUUUGGUGAACUUUUUUCUUCUUGAAAAACAACGUGAAAAAACACCAAAAGGAGCAGACGAACUGCAGCUUAUACUGGCUGGCCUUGGAAUACGUUCAUUAACCCUUAAUGAAAACAUCACACAUUCAGAGAUUUGCUUUUGAGCACAUAUCCAAGACUGGCAAAUAUCUGUGGUGGCUGGUUGCUGCACAAGUCCACAGGUGGGGGUGGGCAGCGGAGAUUGGCUGUUAUUCCUCCAGAUUUAAAUGGAUACACCGGCCAGCAGCUAAAAGAAGUGAGCGGGAAUGGAAAAUACACAAUGUACAUUGCUCCUUUACAAGAAGAACUGGAUACAAUUCCUUUACCACCAGAAGCAAAGGAAUUUGAGAAGAUGCCCAAAGCCCAGUAUACAACCUGCAAGAAAAUGGUUCCGCUUCAGAUUCUUCCAGGACACAUAAAGGAAUGCAAGAAAGAACUUGAAAAUGUGUGUGAUUCUGUUGAAGAAGAAAGCUGCAAGGAAGAAGAUGAUGUAUUCUCAGCGGCCCUUUGCUACCAGACAGACAAGGAGUAGUGUGACGCUUUAUUCACAUGCAUUGUAAAUUUGUUAGACAGCUGAGUGUCCUGUGUGCACAAAUGCAUUUCAUCCUGACAUCAUUGAGAUCCAUGCAGCCAGUUGCGG